AGAGUUUGAUCCUGGCUCAGGACGAACGCUGGCGGCAUGCCUAAUACAUGCAAGUCGAGCGGACUUGAAGAGAAGCUUGCUUCUCUGAUGGUUAGCGGCGGACGGGUGAGUAACACGUAGGCAACCUGCCCUCAAGUUUGGGACAACUACCGGAAACGGUAGCUAAUACCGAAUAGUUGUUUUCUUCGCCUGAAGGAAACUGGAAAGACGGAGCAAUCUGUCACUUGGGGAUGGGCCUGCGGCGCAUUAGCUAGUUGGUGGGGUAACGGCUCACCAAGGCGACGAUGCGUAGCCGACCUGAGAGGGUGAUCGGCCACACUGGGACUGAGACACGGCCCAGACUCCUACGGGAGGCAGCAGUAGGGAAUCUUCCGCAAUGGGCGAAAGCCUGACGGAGCAAUGCCGCGUGAGUGAUGAAGGUUUUCGGAUCGUAAAGCUCUGUUGCCAGGGAAGAACGCUUGAGAGAGUAACUGCCCUCAAGGUGACGGUACCUGAGAAAAAGCCCGGCUAACUCGUGCAGCAUCGCGGUAAUCGUAGG
rnacentral:rRNA from 1 species